GACGAACGCUGGCGGCGUGCCUAACACAUGCAAGUCGAGCGAAGCGAUUAGUAGCUUGCUACUAAUUGACUUAGCGGCGGACGGGUGAGUAACGCGUGGGCAACCUACCUUACACAGGGGGAUAACACCGGGAAACUGGUGCUAAUACCGUAUGAAAACAAACUACGGCAUCGUAGAAUGAUUAAAGGAGAAAUCCGGUGUAAGAUGGGCCCGCGUCCGAUUAGCUAGUUGGUGAGGUAAUGGCUCACCAAGGCGACGAUCGGUAGCCGAACUGAGAGGUUGAUCGGCCACAUUGGGACUGAGACACGGCCCAGACUCCUACGGGAGGCAGCAGUGGGGAAUAUUGCGCAAUGGGGGAAACCCUGACGCAGCAACGCCGCGUGAAGGAUGAA
rnacentral:rRNA from 1 species